AAACCGCUUAGGGGUUAAGCCCGAUGAACCUGAAUAUCUGAAUUGAGAAAUUCAAUAUUAUUUUAUUUUCUAUGUUUUUAGUUAAUAAAUUGUAUGCACUUUUCUCAUAGUAAGACAUUGCGAUCCAUUAGUAUUGUUUAGUUUAUCAAACGGCCCGUUUGUUUAGUUUAUUCUAUCUGUGAUAAUUUCAUUAUUGUCAUAUGAAUAAUAGCAUAAUUGGUGACCUGAUAAACAGCUGAUGGAGCUUAAAAAUCAUGCAACCAUGCAUAUGUAUCGCGAUUUGUUAAUAUUUUAUUAAUGAAUGCAGUGAUAGCAUGUAUUUGAUUAGCAAUGCGAUAGAUUUGGGAUACCUUCGGGACCCGUCUUGAAACACGGACCAAGAAGUCUAACAUGUGUGCAAGUCAUUGGGUAUUGUAUGUUGAAACCUAAAGGCGAAAUUAAAAUAACUAUUUUUAUGGGAUUACAAGCAAUUUAAUUUUUAUUAAUGAUUGCUUCUCCAUCCCGGGGCGUUCUAUACGAACAUGAUUUAAGCAAUUAAAUUCUCUGUUCAAGAGCGUACCUUGAGCAUACAUGCUGUGACCCGAAAGAUGGUGAACUAUACCUGAUCAGGUUGAAGUCAGGGGAAACCCUGAUGGAGGACUGAAGCAGUUCUGACGUGCAAAUCGAUUGUCAGAAUUGGGUAUAGGGGCGUAAGACCAAUCGAACCAUCUAGUAGCUGGUUCCCUCCGAAGUUUCCCUCAGGAUAGCUGGUGCAAUGAAAAAUCUAAUAUAUAAUCUUAUCUGGUAAAGCGAAUGAUUAGAGGCCUUGGGGCCGAAACGACCUCAACCUAUUCUCAAACUUUAAAUGGGUAAGAACCUCAUCUUUCUUGAUCUGAAGAUAUAGGGGUUUAGAUAUAUUGUGCCCAGUGGGCCACUUUUGGUAAGCAGAACUGGCGCUGUGGGAUGAACCAAACGUGAUGUUACGGCGCCCAAAUUAAUGACUCAUAUUGAUACCAUGAAAGGCGUUGGUUGCUUAAAACAGCAGGUCGGUGGACACGGAAGUUGUAAUCCGCUAAGGAGUGUGUAACAACUCACCUGCCGAAGCAACUAGCCCUUAAAAUGGAUGGCGCUCAAGUCAUAUGCCUAUACAUCACCGCUAGAAUAAAAAGAAUUUAUUUUUUUAAAAAAAAUAAAUUUUAUCAAAUUCUA
rnacentral:rRNA from 1 species